UCUCUCUCUCCGUGAAACCACUUCCUCUGCAAAAAAAAACAACCACAACCACUCUCCUCCACUGUCGUUGCGACAUCGAUACAUAGCUCAUGCCUAGUUUACAAAACGGAAAAGGUGGGCAAACACCAAGACGACGAGAGCGAGCGGUACGGUGGUAAGUGUGAGAAAGGAUGGAUGAGCCAGAGAGGGAUGUCCCUCCCUUUUGCUUCAAGAGAAAACAGAGACCUCUCCUUAUCGCUCCUUCUCUGCCAUGUCUGCACUCCUAACCCCUCGGCGGCCCCCUGGUGAAUUACGGCAUAAACCAGAGGCCCUCAAACAGCUCACAGGUUUCCCAUUCGCAAUGUGAUCGACCAGUGGAUCCUCCGCUCAAGGAGCACCUUUCCUUUGUUGAAGGAUGGACCAGUGGAUCCUCCGCUCAAGGAGCACCUUUCCUUUGUUGGAGGAUGGACCAGUGGAUCCUCCGCUCAAGGAGCACCUUUCCUUUGUUGGAGGAUGGACCAGUGGAUCCUCCGCUCAAGGAGCACCUUUCCUUUGUUGGAGGAUGGACCAGUGGAUCCUCCGCUCAAGAAGCACCUUUCCUUUGUUGAAGGAUGGACCAGUGGAUCCUCCGCUCAAGGAGCACCUUUCCUUUGUUGAAGGAUGGACCAGUGGAUCCUCCGCUCAAGGAGCACCUUUCCUUUGUUGGAGGAUGGACCAGUGGAUCCUCCGCUCAAGGAGCACCUUUCCUUUGUUGAAGGAUGGACCAGUGGAUCCUCCGCUCAAGGAGCACCUUUCCUUUGUUGGAGGAUGGACCAGUGGAUCCUCAGCUCAAGGAGCACCUUUCCUUUGUUGGAGGAUGGACCAGUGGAUCCUCCGCUCAAAGAGCACCUUUCCUUUGUUGGAGGAUGGACCAGUGGAUCCUCCGCUCAAAGAGCACCUUUCCUUUGUUGGAGGAUGGACCAGUGGAUCCUCCGCUCAAGGAGCACCUUUCCUUUGUUGAAGGAUGGACCAGUGGAUCCUCCGCUCAAGAAGCACCUUUCCUUUGUUGAAGGAUGGACCAGUGGCUCCUCCGCUCAAAGAGCACCUUUCCUUUGUUGGAGGAUGGACCAGUGGAUCCUCCGCUCAAGGAGCACCUUUCCUUUGCAUUUAGACAAUUCCAACAGCUGUUAUCAAGACUUUUCGACCGCAGCCUUAAUGUGUUUUAACACAAGGGAUAACUGCAUUCUUUAUGAAACUCGGUUCCAAAUCCGCAGUCUAUGCGGCAAGGACAGGUUAAUUUGCAUUCCUAGAAAGCACUCGGCUGAAUUAGUAAUGUCAAGUUUGAACAUGCACAAUUUGUUCCUGGGAUUCUUUGUUUCUUUUAAUAAAGUGCAACCGUGUAAACCUUC